GCUGGAGGAAAGUCCGGGCUCCACAGGGCAGGGUGCCAGGUAACGCCUGGGGGGCGUGAGCCCACGGCCAGUGCAACAGAAAGCAAACCGCCCGGCAGUCUCCGGAUUGUCAGGUAAGGGUGAAAAGGUGCGGUAAGAGCGCACCGCGCGACUGGCAACAGUUCGUGGCACGGUAAACCCCACCCGGAGCAAGGCCAAAUAGGAAUCCGCUAGUGUGGCUCGCAUUGGAUUCGGGUAGGCUGCUAGAAGCCUGUGGCGACGCAGGUUGUAGAUGAAUAA
rnacentral:ribozyme from 1 species